GCGGGAGUGGCGGAACUGGCAGACGCGCCGGGUUUAGGUCCCGGUGGCCGAAAGGCCGUGGGGGUUCAACUCCCCCCUCUCGCA
rnacentral:tRNA from 2 species